AUGGGAACGCGAAGAACCUUACCUAGACUUGACAUCUCCUGAAUAGUGUAGAGAUACAUGAAGCCCUUCGGGGCAGGAAGACAGGUGGUGCAUGGUUGUCGUCAGCUCGUGUCGUGAGAUGUUGGGUUAAGUCCCGCAACGAGCGCAACCCUUAUUACUAGUUGCUACCAUUAAGUUGAGCACUCUAGUGAGACUGCCCGGGUUAACCGGGAGGAAGGCGGGGAUGACGUCAAAUCAUCAUGCCCCUUAUGUCUAGGGCAACACACGUGCUACAAUGGUGAGUACAGAUAGAUGCGAUACCGCAAGGUGGAGCCAAACUCUAAAACUCAUCCCAGUUCGGAUUGUAGGCUGCAACUCGCCUACAUGAAGUUGGAGUUGCUAGUAAUCGCGAAUCAGAACUGUC
rnacentral:rRNA from 1 species